GUACACAAAAAUGCACAUAUUGUGAGCUCGAUGAGUAGGGCGGGACACGUGGUAUCCUGUCUGAAUAUGGGGGGACCAUCCUCCAAGGCUAAAUACUCCUGACUGACCGAUAGUGAACCAGUACCGUGAGGGAAAGGCGAAAAGAACCCCGGCGAGGGGAGUGAAAAAGAACCUGAAACCGUGUACGUACAAGCAGUGGGAGCCUCUUAAUGGGGUGACUGCGUACCUUUUGUAUAAUGGGUCAGCGACUUAUAUUCUGUAGCAAGGUUAACCGAAUAGGGGAGCCGAAGGGAAACCGAGUCUUAACUGGGCGUUAAGUUGCAGGGUAUAGACCCGAAACCCGGUGAUCUAGCCAUGGGCAGGUUGAAGGUUGGGUAACACUAACUGGAGGACCGAACCGACUAAUGUUGAAAAAUUAGCGGAUGACUUGUGGCUGGGGGUGAAAGGCCAAUCAAACCGGGAGAUAGCUGGUUCUCCCCGAAAGCUAUUUAGGUAGCGCCUCGUGAAUUCAUCUCCGGGGGUAGAGCACUGUUUCGGCAAGGGGGUCAUCCCGACUUACCAACCCGAUGCAAACUGCGAAUACCGGAGAAUGUUAUCACGGGAGACACACGGCGGGUGCUAACGUCCGUCGUGAAGAGGGAAACAACCCAGACCGCCAGCUAAGGUCCCAAAGUCAUGGUUAAGUGGGAAACGAUGUGGGAAGGCCCAGACAGCCAGGAUGUUGGCUUAGAAGCAGCCAUCAUUUAAAGAAAGCGUAAUAGCUCACUGGUCGAGUCGGCCUGCGCGGAAGAUGUAACGGGGCUAAACCAUGCACCGAAGCUGCGGCAGCGACACUAUGUGUUGUUGGGUAGGGGAGCGUUCUGUAAGCCUGUGAAGGUGGCCUGUGAGGGUUGCUGGAGGUAUCAGAAGUGCGAAUGCUGACAUAAGUAACGAUAAAGCGGGUGAAAAGCCCGCUCGCCGGAAGACCAAGGGUUCCUGUCCAACGUUAAUCGGGGCAGGGUGAGUCGACCCCUAAGGCGAGGCCGAAAGGCGUAGUCGAUGGGAAACAGGUUAAUAUUCCUGUACUUGGUGUUACUGCGAAGGGGGGACGGAGAAGGCUAUGUUGGCCGGGCGACGGUUGUCCCGGUUUAAGCGUGUAGGCUGGUUUUCCAGGCAAAUCCGGAAAACCAAGGCUGAGGCGUGAUGACGAGGCACUACGGUGCUGAAGCGACAAAUGCCCUGCU
rnacentral:rRNA from 1 species